rfam:Schistosoma mattheei strain Denwood, Zambia genome assembly, scaffold: SMTD_scaffold0017923
AUCCAACUGACGAGUCCCGAAUAGGAUGAAACACGCGUCCUGUAU